rnacentral:ribozyme from 1 species
GGUGAUGGAUGCCCCUAGGAUUGAUCUAGGGGCAUUAAACCACAAGGUGAGUCCAAAGUCUCA